GGCAGCUGGGCAUGUGGGGACAAGUCCGGGCACGUCCCAAGCUCCAGUGCUUAUGGGCUGCAACCUGCUGUUGAGGGGGUCACUCCUCAGGCUUCCCUGAGCUGGAGACAUCCUUUAAGGUAGUUGAUCACUUUACAAAGCCAUGAUCUUGGACAGUAACAUCACCAAUAUUUCUGUGUCUGGACAAAAUGGUUUGUCAAUUGCACUAAUAGAGCUGCUGCCCAUUUCAUGAAGGCCCUAUUUGUUAUUACUGAUAGAAGCAAUGAUCCAGGAGGACUAAAAAUCCGGCAAUGUCUUGUCAUAUUUUACAGUUCAAAUUUAAAGGCAAGUAUGGCACAUUUUUUACCAAAAAGUAGUGAUUCUUAUUUUCUCGUCACCCUGACAAGGUACAUACUUGAAAAGAUGUUUCAGGUGGCAAUGAUUCCAUAUACUAUAAACUAAGCAGAUCUAGAACAUAGUCGUUCAGCCAUGCUAAAUGUUUUGCACAUUUGAUAUGUUUUGUUUUCCUUGACAGAUCUUCAAACUGAAGAGAAUUCCUAC